GACGAACGCUGGCGGCGUGCUUAACACAUGCAAGUCGAACGGUGAAGCGCCUUCCUUUUUGGUGGGUGUGGAUGAGUGGCGAACGGGUGAGUAACACGUGAGUAACCUGCCCCCUUCUUCUGGAUAACCGCAUGAAAGUGUGGCUAAUACGGGAUAUUCUGGGUCUGUCGCAUGAUGGGUCUGGGAAAGAUAUUGUUUCGGUGGGGGAUGGGCUCGCGGCCUAUCAGCUUGUUGGUGGGGUGAUGGCCUACCAAGGCGGUGACGGGUAGCCGGCCUGAGAGGGUGGACGGUCACACGGGGACUGAGACGCGGCCCAGACUCCUACGGGAGGCAGCAGUGGGGAAUAGUGCACAGUGGGCGCAAGACUGAUGCAGCGACGCCGCGUGAGGGAUGGAGGCCUUCGGGUUGUGAACCUCUUUCGCCAGUGAAGCAGGCCUGCCUCGUUUGUGGGCGGGUUGACGGUAGCUGGAUAAGAAGCGCCGGCUAACUACGUG
rnacentral:rRNA from 1 species